rnacentral:tRNA from 1 species
GGGAGAUAGCUCAGUGGUAGAGCACAUGCGUGGCAUGCAUGAAGUCCUGGAUUCAAUCCCCAGUACUUUCA